rnacentral:pre_miRNA from 1 species
CAAAGAGUCAUAUUCUUCUUUUGGCUUGUUUUAAAAUAGAAGUUUUUGAUUAAUGUGGAACGUGUUAAGAGAGGAAUAUGAUAUGAUA